rnacentral:rRNA from 1 species
AGGACGAACGCUGGCGGCGCGCCUAACACAUGUAAGUCGAGCGAUAACCAGGGCUUGCCCUGGGGACAGCGGCGAACGGGUGCGUAACACGUGAGCAACCUGCCCCAAAGACCGGGACAACCCGAGGAAACUCGGACUAAUACCGGAUGCCCUCACCGGGUCGCAUGGUCUGGUGAGGAAAUGGAUUCCGCUUUGGGAUGGGCUCGCGGUCUAUCAGCUUGUUGGUGGGGUAACGGCCUACCAAGGCGACGACGGAUAGCUGGUCUGAGAGGACGAUCAGCCACACUGGGACUGAGACACGGCCCAGACUCCUACGGGAGGCAGCAGUGGGGAAUCUUGCGCAAUGGGCGAAAGCCUGACGCAGCGACGCCGCGUGCGGGAUGAGGGCCUUCGGGUUGUAAACCGCUUUCAGCAGGGACGAAUUGACGGUACCUGCAGAAGAAGGCCCGGCCAACUACGUGCCAGCAGCCGC